UAGUGACUAUUGCUCAGGAAGACAACUUGUAGUGAAUUUGUGAUUAUGUUGUAAACAUUGAUAAAACUUGUUAAUGAGUUGCUUAUUGUUUUCUUAUGAACUUACUAAGUGUAAAGCUUACUCCCCUUUUCUUUCCCAUAUUCCCUAGGGUUGCCAGGUUAGCUCGGGUUGGAGGCCGUCAGAGAUAUUAUCACAUUGUCAAGUCUACGCUAUCGGCGUAAGUAAAUCUUAGUGUUUCGAGUCUAUGGCAUGUAUAGG
rnacentral:lncRNA from 1 species